rnacentral:lncRNA from 1 species
UCAUCUGGGCAGGGUAAAAGCUACGAUUUUCAGACUUCUCCUCACUCCAAAAACCCAAUUUUAAUCCCCUGAUCACCCAAAACGUUUUCCAGAAAUGUUUACAAGUCCUAUACACAACCAGACAUCAACAACAACAAUUCAGCCCAUUCAAGCAAUCAUACAAAACUUCCCAAUUCAUCCAUCAUAUUCUAUUUUCGUUCCAAUUCUGAUCACAAUCAACAACAUAGAUUGAGAAAUCAUACUAAACAUCAAAUUACAACACAAUAAACCUAAUUCUUACACCUUUUCUUUCAAAAUCAUCAUUAACCCUUAAUUCCCAAUUUUACUUUUAAGAACAGUUCAAUUGAUUAAUUUUCAGAAAUUAUAUAUUAUGACUAUUGAAAGAUAAUCCCACCCUUACCUUAGAAUUG